CCAAUAUGCGUACGGUCCCUAAUCUCAUCGCUUGCUUCAUUCUUUCUCUUAUUUGAGACUUCAUUUUGGAAUUUAUGCACGGGCUUGAACCUAUCUUGCUCUUGCUUCUUCUCUUUCUGGUCAUCCUUGUUACGAUAGUCGUUGUUGUUCUUAUUUUGAGUUGUACAUCGAUUUCUGUUGUUAGUGAAAAUAGUCAUGUAUAUAGCUUGCAUGUGGGUUGGUGCUUGGAGAGCUUCCAAGAUCACAUGAUCUUCAAUUUAUUGAGGGUUAUUAUAGCCCUUUUGUUUCCAAGUGCAUUCUGCCAAGUCCUCGUUGGUAUCACUUUUGAAGUUCAUGGUUAUUUUCCUUAUGUUGCAGAGCUCUUUAUAUUGCCCCUUAAGAAGAUAUUAUAGAUCACAAUACCUUCCAAAUGAGCAUCUGAAGUGGUGGAAGCAUAGUUCGAGUGGUUGGUUUUCUCAUUGCUGAUAUUGAUGCUCUCAUAUAAGGUGUCCUUCUUUCCAAUAUCCUUCUUCUUGUUCUCCUUAGUAGUCUGUCUAUUAUUGUUGAAGUUCAUAUAGGUAGAAUUAUUGUUCUUCUUGUGACUUUGACUUUUGCGAUUUGUUCGGCUAGUGCGUAAGGCUUUUCCAUAUGUAAUUAUCCUUAAGGUUGGUCUUGAUAUCCUAAAUAAUGGAAUUCGGGAAAUAUUAAGCUUCCAAAUAAAUGUUGAUAAGAGUGUUUUCAUUAAUUAGGAUUCUCCAAAUUUUCUUAGCUAGAAGAGCAUCAUUAAUGAUGGUCAUCUUCCUAAAUCCUAAGCUACCUUUGUCUUUCAAAAGGAGAAUCUUAUCCCAAAUUUUCCAACAUAUGCUUCUCUUAUUUGGUUCUCCCCCACCAAAAAUUCCUAAUCAUAUUGUCGAUCUUAUCAUUUAGGUUACUAGGAAGUUUAAAGACAUUCAUAGCAUAAGUAGGAAUGUCUUGAAUAACUGCUUUUGCUUUAAUGAGGAUAACUUUUCUGGCAUAAGAUAGAUGUUUGUUGUUCCAGUCAUUAAUCUUGUUUUUGACCCUAUCAAGAAAAUAAACUGAAGUUAGAUCUGCAUAUAUGAGAGGGAAGGCCCAUGUACUUUCUCAUUUGAUUAGUUAUGUCAAUGGGCAUCUACUAAAUGAAAUUCAUUCGAGUAUCAUUAUUUGAUUUACUACUCAAUAUCAUAGAAAAUAUUAGUUGAAAUAAAUAAGUUGACGCAGACUAUUUUGGUACUUUUUUAGGAUUGGGUAAGGCUCUUUUGAUUCCUCCUCAUUAGCCCUACCAAAAAUUAAGAUAUCAUCAGCAAAAAAAAAUAGAUGUGAUAUUGUUAGGGGCAACCUUGGAUAUUUUUAGGUCGUGAGUACAACAUAUAGAUUGGCUAUUAGUGAUCUUCCUUGACAACAUCUCAACACAAAGAAUGACAAUGUAGGGGAUAUAUGGUCCCCUUAUCUGAUACCUCUAGAAAAAGUAGAACCAUAAUUACUAUCAUUAAUGAGAAUAGAGAAAGAAACAAUAUUAACACAAUUAAGAAUAGUGCUAGUGAGGUUUUGAUGAAAUCCCAUUACAAGUAAGCUAUUCUUGAUGAAAUCUAAUUUAAGUCUAUCAUAGGAUUUAGUCAUGUCUAACUUUAGUCAAACGUAGCGUUUAUUUUUAUUUUUUAUUCUUGCUAAGAGAGUGGAAGGAUUCAAAAUCCAAAAUGAUAUUGUCAUUUAUUAAUCUCUUCGGAAUGGAAGCACUUUGACAAGGGUUGAUAGUAGUAUUAAGCAUAGGUUUGAUUCUGUUAACAAUAGUUUAGUGAUGAUUUUAAGAGUGACAUUGCAUAAGGAUAUAGUCUAAAAUCUAUGGCCUUUUUGUUAGACGGUGUGGCUAGUGAUCGAGAGGGGGGUGAAUAGAUCACCUCUUUUAACUAAACGGAUUUAAAAAAUCUUAUCAGAGUUAUUGAAACUUAGCGGAAAGUUUGUGAGCAAAUUCUUUACUUUGAAUAAGUUUUGAAUGAUAGUAAAUUGUGUGAUCAUUGUCUAAUUGUUGGUUGUGCAUUAUUUUACAUGUUUCAUUUGUGUUUUUAGCCUAUACUAUUGUUUCGUGUCUAUACAUAAAGAUCCACAUUGAUACAUUUCUUAAAAGAACUCAUAAAAACUGUUUUGUGUCAGUAUGUAUCGAUACAUGUUCAUCUGCAUCGAUACAUAAAUUUGUUUUAAAUCACAAAACGUUUUUGCUUCAGUAUGUAUCGAUACAUACGAGCUUUGUAUCGAUACAUGCUUAGUUAAAAUGUUCUAUGUAUCGAUACAUACGAGCUUUGUAUCGAUACAUGCUUAGUUAAAAUGUUCUAUGUAUCGAUACAUACGAGCUUUGUAUCGAUACAUGCUUGUAUUAAUUCUCUAAAAUUAAUCAAAGCUACAGUAUGUAUCGAUGCAUAAUCUUUUGUAUCAAUACAUAAUUCUGUUUUGUCUACUAACAGCUUCUGUCUUUCACAUAUAAGAAGUAUUUUUGACAGCUCAGUUAAAGAGUACGAAUUCAGAAGUGAAAAACAGUUGUAACACAAAUCAAAGGAGUGUGUAGCAGCAAUUGUUUUGAGCAGUUAGAAAUCUGAAAGAGACUUCAUCUUCUUCAUCUUCUCAAUCUCUUUUCUUCAAGAACAUCAACACAUAAUCAUUCUUGUUCUUUGGAUUAAAGGAUCAACGAGAUAACGUUCAGUGGAACGAUGAAGGAUCUAGCUGAGGUGUUCAGUGGAACGAUCGAGGAUCUAGCUGAGUUGAAGGUUGAAGGGGGUUUCGAGGAAAAACCAAAUGGUUUGUCCUUCAAGAACUGAAGUGUUCUUGCGGGUUUGUUAGUCACGUUUGCAGAACAGAUUCAGCCGUAGCGUAGGGUUUGGAAAUUGGGUAAUUUCGCAAAUAGGUCGUGAAACCGGUGAAUUGUUUGCAAUUUCUUGCAGGAAAUUCUUGAUCGAGCUCAGAUCAAGUGGAAGUUUUAUACAAGAAGAAGAUCUUGGGAUUUAGAUUUCUGUCUUUGUAUUGUAACCUUGUAUCAACGAAUUCGACAUUAUUGAUAACAACAGUUCUCAAUUUCAUUUGAAAUUGAGAGGGAGACGUACCCACACGCGAGGACGACAGUGGGGAACUUCCUUACCAAAUCUCUGCGUAUCGUAUUCUUUCCUUAUUUAUCUUUACGUUUUCAACAGUUUUGUGAUUUCAGUUAGUGUAUUGUGGCUGUACAUUUCGUGAUACAAUAGUGGCAAGAAAACUUCUUUAUCUAAACUCCACCAUUGUUCAUCAUUGAUCACAUACACACCAAAUGUUUGACAAAACUGUCAGCUGAGUUUUAUUCAUUGGAAUUAGAAUUUAGUGAUAAGUGCAUUUGAUUUGAUAAUAUUCUGGUGUUAAUAAUCUCUAUCGUUCCUAUUCAAAUCCAGCAAUAAAUUCGCGUGUCCGGUUUUCUAGUAGCGGU